AUCCGGGUUGCGGACAGUGUCUGGUGGGUAGUUUGACUGGGGCGGUCUCCUCCUAAAGAGUAACGGAGGAGCACGAAGGUUGGCUAAUCCUGGUCGGACAUCAGGAGGUUAGUGCAAUGGCAUAAGCCAGCUUGACUGCGAGCGUGACGGCGCGAGCAGGUGCGAAAGCAGGUCAUAGUGAUCCGGUGGUUCUGAAUGGAAGGGCCAUCGCUCAACGGAUAAAAGGUACUCCGGGGAUAACAGGCUGAUACCGCCCAAGAGUUCAUAUCGACGGCGGUGUUUGGCACCUCGAUGUCGGCUCAUCACAUCCUGGGGCUGAAGUAGGUCCCAAGGGUAUGGCUGUUCGCCAUUUAAAGUGGUACGCGAGCUGGGUUUAGAACGUCGUGAGACAGUUCGGUCCCUAUCUGCCGUGGGCGCUGGAGAAUUGAGGGGGGCUGCUCCUAGUACGAGAGGACCGGAGUGGACGCAUCACUGGUGUUCGGGUUGUCAUGCCAAUGGCACUGCCCGGUAGCUAAAUGCGGAAGAGAUAAGUGCUGAAAGCAUCUAAGCACGAAACUUGCCCCGAGAUGAGUUCUCCCUGACUCCUUGAGAGUCCUGAAGGAACGUUGAAGACGACGACGUUGAUAGGCCGGGUGUGUAAGCGCAGCGAUGCGUUGAGCUAACCGGUACUAAUGAACCGUGAGGCUUAACCUUACAACGCCGAAGCUGUU
rnacentral:rRNA from 1 species